UGGGGAAUAUUGCACAAUGGGCGCAAGCCUGAUGCAGCGACGCCGCGUGAGGGAUGACGGCCUUCGGGUUGUAAACCUCUUUCAGCAGGGAAGAAGCGGAAGUGACGGUACCUGCAGAAGAAGCGCCGGCUAACUACGUGCCAGCAGCCGCGGUAAUACGUAGGGCGCAAGCGUUGUCCGGAAUUAUUGGGCGUAAAGAGCUCGUAGGCGGCUUGUCGCGUCUGCUGUGAAAGCCCGGGGCUCAACCCCGGGUCUGCAGUGGGUACGGGCAGACUAGAGUGCAGUAGGGGAGACUGGAAUUCCUGGUGUAGCGGUGAAAUGCGCAGAUAUCAGGAGGAACACCGGUGGCGAAGGCGGGUCUCUGGGCUGUAACUGACGCUGAGGAGCGAAAGCAUGGGGAGCGAACAGG
rnacentral:rRNA from 1 species